AGGAAAUGGCAACCCACUCCAGUGUUCUUGUCUGGACAAUCCCAGGGACAGGGGAGCCUGGUGGGCUGCCGUCUCUGGAGUCGAACCAGAGUUGGACACGACUGAAGUGACUUAGCAGACAUGAUAAUCCUCCAAGUCUACUUAACUGUCUGCAGAAUUAAAUCCAGGUUCCUAAAUCAGGCACUCAGUGUCUGCCACACAGUAAUGUCCUGAGCUUCUCCAGUGACCCCCUGGCCUCCACAAGCCCCCGGCUAACUGACACCUUUGCUGUGAUGACACUUUCCUUCCCUCUAGCCGUUGGAUAAGCAUUGAGAAAAGCCCUGUAGACACUAACUGAAAGUCAGCUUCAACCCCUCUUGUUCUUCAGAGUCUCCCCUCGGGCUAACCUAAGUUCUUUCUAAAAUACUUGGACUCAGCUUUUAUCAUUGAUGUUGUUCAGUUGCUAAGUCGUGUCCACCUCUUUGCGACCUCAUGGACUGCGGCACGCCAGGCUCCUCUGUCCUCCACUAUCUCCUAGAGUUUGCUCAAAUUUGUGCCCAUCGAGUCUGUGAUGCCUUUAUUGAGCACCACACAAAUAGAUGCUUCCCAGUUUUGGAGAUUUUCAGCUAGCAAAACUUUAAGAAAGGGAUGGCAAAUUAAGUGUGAGAUAUACAUCUGGAAAGAAACGUAUACAUUAAGAUUAACCAGUCAUACAACCGAUGCCCAGGGAGGAAAUAGGGUAUUGCCAGCACCUAAAACGCCCCAUCCUUUGUGUCUUUCCCAGAGCAUAAUUCUUCCUCCAGAGAUAUUUGGUUCUCGGAUUUUGGAGAUAAUUAUUUCUUUAUAGUUCUACCUCCUCCUUCCUAUGUAUAUAUACACAAAGCAUUGUUUUGGUCUUUGAACAUGUAUAAAUGGAAUCACCUCAUUGGUAUUGUCUUUUUCUGCCUAAUUUUGGUUUUCGGAAAUCAUUCUUUCACUGUUUCCUAAGGUGUCUCACUGUACAGCUGCACAGUUAUCCCCUCUACUGUGGGUAGGCGUUGGCCAUUUCCGGUUUGAGGUUUUCGUGAGGAUCAGUGCUUCUCUGACCCUUCUAGAAUACACCUCCAGUGCACCUAAUGUGCAUUUUCUGUAGGGGAUAAAUGUGGGAAUGAAACUGGAGGCAUGGAAAUAUGUAUCCCUCUAAACUUUUUUGUUAAUGUCAACUUGUUUUCAAAGAGAUGGUGCUAUUUACCCUCCCACCAGCAGGGCAUGAGAACAGCAUUGUUCCACAUCGUCCCCAGUGCUUGGGUAUCAUCAGGAAUUUAAAUUUCUCCUGAUUUGGUCCUUUGCAGAACUUCGCCUAAGUAUAAGUUUAUGAAGAUGGCAGAAGGAAUCCUUUUUUUUUUUUUUUAAUUUUGAAAGGCAGAUGUUCUCCAAAUCUAACAACCACAUAAAUGUCCAGUGUGUCCAUAACUGUCCAGAGCAGCCACUAGCAAUAAGGACUUCUAACACUGUAGCGGAGAUGUAUACUGGCCUCCAGAGAUCCAAGAUGUACACAUAUUUGACUACUUGCCCUGGGAAGUCACUCUUAAAACUAACGCAAGUCCCUCAUACUGCAUUUUAAAUACCACCUUCUUCCCAUCAAGCAUUUGAGUGCCUACUGUGUACACACACAGUAUAUGCCCCACACAUAGCAGGGGGAGAUGGACAAUUAAUAUGGAUGGUUACCAUGGAUGGUAAAGGCCGGGUCAAGGGUCAAAGCCCAGGCCAGUUUGACCACAGCAUGGCGGCCAGCUGCUUUUUUAGAGAUUGAGUAGAUGUUGGCUCAGCUGGUAAAGAACUUGCCUACUAAUGCAGGAGACACAAAAGAUGCUGGUUCAAUCCCAGGUUGGGAAGAUCCCCUGGAGGAGAAGAUGGCAACUCCUCCAUUAUUCUUGCCUGGGAAAUCCCAUGGACAGAGGAGCCUGGUGGGCUACAGUCCAUGGGGUUGCAAAGAGUCAGAUACGACUGAGCACACAUGCACUUGUAGAUGUUUCUUUCGCUGAAGACUGUAAUGGUUUUAGGAGUGAGGUGGGUUUAGAGGAAGAAGCUGUAAGAUACAGAGAGCUCCAGGGCCUUAGGAGAACAGCAUAGGCAAAGACUGGGAAACAGCAGAUGUUCUUUGGUGUGGCUAGAACAUAAAUGGCAAGGAGAGCUGAGCAAGAGAUGAGGCUAAGGCCAGACCAGGAAAAAGAGAUCCCUGUCAGCCUGGCAAAGGGGGGCGGACUUGCUCUAAAAGGCCAGUGGAAAACCUUAAAGGGCUUCCUAAGAGCAAGUGGCAGGAUGCUGCAUUUGAAAAGUUCAUUCUGGCUUGGGCACCACAGCAUUUAGACUAGGGGCUUGUGAAAGAAAAGCAACUCCAAAGUGAUUGUGGGCAGUGCCAGGAGAGCACAGAGGACUCUUCAGCAUCAGUUGUUACCUUUUUUGGCCAUGGAUCUUAGUUCCCUUACCAGAGUUGGAACUCGCACCCUCUGUAGUGGAAGUGCUCAGUCUUAACCACUGAACCACGAGAGAAGUCCCCAUUGAAGUUACUCCUUUUUGGCAAAAGAGAGACCCAAGAGACACUUGCCACCAUUGCUGUGUGGAUAUAUUUAAACCUGGGUGCAACUCUCUUUUUAGUUUACCAGCAAGAAGGAUAUACUUCGUGUAUUCAAAAAGUCCAUCUGUGGUUAACAUCUGGACUUUGAUUUAUAUUCAGUCUAAUGCAUGGAAUUUUGAUUCUGGUCAACGUUACCAGAUGAACCAUGUUCUCUGAGGAAUGAUUAGCCCAAAGUAGGACAGAAGAGAAUCUGAGAAGUAGCCUUUCCACCUGCCCCUUGGCUCUGCCCUAGGAAACAGUCACCCAGCAGCACUUCCUGGAAACCACCGAGACAGAAGUUACAGGGCACCGGCCUCGGCUGCAGAGAUCCUGAAUUGGUUCUUUGUACAAGAUCAUCUCUUAGACACCAAAGCCUGAGUGCCCUCAAAAGAUCAUUCACUCCCUCUAAAUGCCUUAGAAAUGGAAAUUCUCAGGUAAGGUUUUAACAGAUGAAGAUAAAUGAGUAUUUUUUGUGUGUGUCACCCACUUUAUGGUUAUUUAAAAGCCCAAGGCCAGCAGGACUGAAAUUUUUAAAUCUUAUAUUUUCCAACAAUCAUAUUUUAAAGUGCGUUUUUCCAUUGGUGAUAGAUUGUGCAUUUUGAGACUUGAGGUUUAAAACAUUUUUAUUUUGUGUGCCAUUUAAUUCCACUCCUUUGAGCAUCUGGACUUAAAGAAUCCUUAGGAUUUUUCCUCUUGGGUCUCCUUGGAAAAUAAGGAUGCUAGUUGCUACUUCUCUAGUUGGAAAACAUGUUUUCUGUUUCCUUUUAAGUUAUCAGGUUAAAUUCAGUGACUAUUCUCCCAGAAUUCUGUUCUUACAGGCUAUUCUGUAAGAGCAGAUUGUAUUUCCAAAGUUUCUGAUACAAUUCUCAGGGAAUGUGGAAUGGGUUUCCUAAUGGACAAUGUUGUUUAUGGGAGCUGGGCCUCAGCUCGUAAAAGCCUAUAUGUCAGAGAGCCAGAGUAUGUACCAAAUAAGUACAAGGUGCUAGAGAACUGAAAUGCUCCACACAAGAGACAGAAAAAUGUGAUAACCUACAACUUGACAGCUGAAAACAUAGCUACCCUCUGCACAGCUCCAGUGGGAAUAAGUCAAGAUUCAGUCACAAAACCACUUAACUAUGGGUGAGGUGCUGUUCAAGGGUCCAGGAGACAAGAGGAGAUCUGCUCAAAAUUUUGAUAUUAAAAAGAGUGAUGAAUAUCUUGAGAAGUCCAAUAACGUGCCAUGUCUGGAACAAUCAGAGACGGCUUCCUGUGACAUUCACAGGAAUGAGAAUGAGGUGACAUUCACACUGCUCCUUGAGUGAAGAUGUUAAGAUUUUGAGUAGAGACAGUAAAGAUCAGAGCACAUUUUUAGUCUAACCAGGGAUCCUAUGAUCUGUGAUGCAGGAGAAGAAGGGAUCAGUGGCUAUAGGCCUAUGAAGAGAUACGGAGUGAUGACAGAGGAGAAAGAAGUGAACAGUCUCUGGAGAUGCUAAAGCCAGAAGGAACCUGAGAAGUAUAGAAACCAUCCGAGAUUAGCCUUGGUGAGAAGACAAAGAUUAAGGGAAAGAGAAUGAGGAGGAGGGAAAUCCCUGCCAAUACAGGAAGAAAAAUAAGUACCUGUAAGGGUUCAUCUAUAUGUUGAGAACCUCUGUUGGAUGAGGUGGUCACCUUCCCAGAGUCAGGAGUACGAAAUACUCCAUCAAGUAAGCUGUAAAGUUUGGAAAGUGCAAUUAGCUUUAUAUCAAUGUCACAAAACAAGGCAUUUUGAAAAGAAACAUCAAGUUGUUUUCUAUGGGGACCAAAAGAUGCUUUUCCCAGUUUCAAGCUGUGACAGAUUUCAAGUCCAAACAUAAUGUUGAUUAAAAUCGACUAUUUUCACUGAUCAUGUGGUUAUAUGAGUGUGCUCAGUCGCUCAAUCAUUUCCAACUCAUUGCCACCCCGUGGACUGUAGCCCAACAGGCUGCUCUGUCCAUGGAAUUCUCCAGGUAAGAAUACUGGGGUGGGUAGCCAUUCUCUUCUCCAGGAAUCGAACCCGGGUCUCCUGCAUUGCAGGUGGAUUCUUUACUGUCCGAGCCACCAGGGUAUACAGGAUAACAAUAAAAUGAGUAUUCCAUCACUUGAUUUAAGAUGGUGUCUCUCAUCACUCUAAGCUGGGGAAAAGAUGGGAAGAGGGGAAAGGCCCAGGGAAGCACACAGGCUGCUUCCCUCAGGGCCUCCUGCCUUGUGUUCCAAUCGCUACCUGAGUUUCCCUCACUGGGAGGGGAUUUCUGUUCUGAGAACCCCAAAAGCUGAAGACAGUACAGUCCUGGAUUGUUAUGUGACCGUGGGCACAUUUUUAAAAAAACCAGAAAACUCCAGGCCUGUGUUCUGAAUAAAAUGAAGGAGGAGGAUUAGUGGUUUUCAAUCUUCUCUUAGGUGGGAAACUGCUCAGACAAAGUCCUCCGGGUGCUGACUGAAGGAGACGCCUCCCCCGGCACUUCGCUGUUUAUUCAUUCCUCAUUUAGGUCUCCAUGACUCAGUGCUUCCUGUACUGUAUCGAGUUCCCACACUCCAGCAGAGUUUUUUUUAAAGCGUGUCAGAAUGUUAAGCUAACACUUAUUUCAUUGCUUUAAGAGAGAUGGGCUUUUAAGGAGGACGGUCAAAAACGCAAGUGUGAACCUUUUUAUGAUCCUGUCCCUUCAUCAGGAAAGCAUCUAACUCAAUGUCAACGGACUUAAUCCCCGCUAAGCCUGAUUGGCAUUCCAUUCCUAACAGUUAAUAUCAAGGAGAUAAUCCAAAAGGGGAAAAAAAAAAAAAAAGCCAUGUGCAUGGAGUUCUUUGUCAUUGUAUUUUUCAUUAUAAUGAAAAAUGCAAAACUAGAAACAGCCAACAGGAGGAAGGACGAGUUACGGUGUUCAGUGUCGUACUAAUAAGUUCGCUGCUCACUGUCACAUCAGACGGCUAUGAGAACAAUCACUGUGGAAACGGGAUAACGGGGAGAAGAGCAAAGUGCAGAACAGUGAUGCAUGUAAAGGAGGUGGGAGUCCAGUUUGCUUCCCCUGCAUUUCUCCUCCCUCUUCCCUGUGUCUUUUCUCAGUUUCUCCCACGUUGCUAUUGAAACAUGGAAAAAUGAGUUGAUUUAUGAGGUCAAUAACCCUGUGGUGAUUUUCUGCUUCUGAACUGUGUCUUGAAGGAGGCCACAGAACCCAAGCACUGAGAGAGCCCCCCCACCCUACCCUUCAACUUUUUGGUUGCGGUUCAGUUGCUAAGUCGGACUCUUUGCAACCGGAUGUACUGCAGCACGCCAGGCUUCCCUGUCCUUCACCAUCUCCCAGACAUUUGUGGGGCCUCAAACCACCCUGCUUCUUUGUUCUUUAUCCCAUACCUGAGACUCUUGCCUUCAGGGAAGCAGAUUAGAGACUCGUUUUCCUGUCUCCUUUUGCUACAAACCUCUGCAUCACACUGUUUUGACUUCCUGCGCAUCUGGCAAAACAAACCUGGUGUCAUUAGCAGAGAAAAAAGUUUUAUCAAGAAGUUACUGAUGUGAAUGUGCAAUUUACAGUGAUUUCAUAUAUGCUCCCCAGCUUCAAAAUCACUUAGAACUACAGCUGUGGUUUCUGGAAGAAACUGAAAAUGCUACAUCUACUAGUGGAAGAAAAUGCUUUGGUUUGCGCUGAAGAUUUUGCUGUUGUUCAAGCAUAUUGUGAUUAAAGAUUACAAAGAAUAAUGUUAGUUAAAUGCCAAUGAAGUCUUUUUAUAUGAAGUGUAGAGAUUCUGGGGGUGAUGGCGGCAGCGGUGGCCCUGACUUCCUUAUGUAAAAUACUUGAACAUUCCCAUCAAUACUGCCAUCAUCUGUUUGAUAUUCCCAGUAGGGAAUUCCCUGGGUGUCCAGUGGUUGGGACUCAGUGCUUCACUGCUGGGGCCUGGAUUCAAUCCUGGUCAUGGUACUGAGAUCCUACAAGUCACAUGGCCAAAAAAACAAACAAAAUCUCCCAGUAUAUUUUCUCAAAGUCUAUUUACUUAAAAUGGUAUGGAAUGACAUAAUAAGGAAUAACAUCUGAAUUACAGACACACAGAAAUAAUUCAAUAUUUAAAAAUAACUUUCAUAUUUUGGCAGGAACACAUAAAUAGAAUUUUUGAUAUUCAUUAUAUUAGGUGAUUAAUGCUAUUUCUUUUAAUAUAAAGUCCUCUUAUUUGGAGUUUAAUAUUUCACAUGUUUGAAUGUGUACAAUAUUCCCAAAUAAAAAUAAUUAAAAUUUUCA